AACGAACGUUGGCGGCGUGGAUUAGGCAUGCAAGUCGAACGCGAAUCCCUGGGCAACUGGGGAGGAGAGUGGCGAAAGGGGCAGUAAGGCGUGGGUAACCUACCCUCCGGGCCGGGAUAGCUUCGGGAAACUGAAGGUAAUACCGGGCGACGCAGCGAGAUCGCAUGGUCUUGCUGCCAAAGGUCCGCCGCCGGGGGAGGGGCUCACGUGGUAUUAGCUAGACGGCGGGGUAACGGCCCACCGUGGCAAAGAUGCCUAGCAGGUGUGAGAGCACGACCUGCGCCACAGGGACUGAGACACUGGCCAGACACCUACGGGUGGGUGAAGUGGAGGAUAUUUGGCAAUGGGGGCAAGCCUGAGCGGGCGACGCCGCGUGUGCGAGGAAGGCGUUCGGGUUGUAAAGAACGGUCGAGGGGGAGGAAGACGCAAGGUGGACCUAGCCCUGGAGGAAGCACGGGCUAAGUUCGUG
rnacentral:rRNA from 1 species